rnacentral:rRNA from 1 species
GGUUGACCUCGGAUCAGGUACGGAUACCCGCUGAACUUAAGCAUAUCAAUAAGCGGAGGAAAAGAAACCAACAGGGAUUGCCUCAGUAACGGCGAGUGAAGCGGCAAGAGCUCAAAUUUGAAAGCUGGCCCCUUCGGGGUCCGCAUUGUAAUUUGCAGAGGAUGCUUCGGGUGCAGCCCCCGUCUAAGUUGCCCUGGAACGGGCCGUCAUAGAGGGUGAGAAUCCCGUCUGGGACGGGGUGUCUGCGUCCGUGUGAAGCUCCUUCGACGAGUCGAGUUGUUUGGGAAUGCAGCUCUAAAUGGGUGGUAAAUUUCAUCUAAAGCUAAAUACUGGCCGGAGACCGAUAGCGCACAAGUAGAGUGAUCGAAAGAUGAAAAGCACUUUGAAAAGAGAGUUAAACAGCACGUGAAAUUGUUGAAAGGGAAGCGUUUGCGACCAGACUCGCCCGCGGGGUUCAGCCGGCAUUCGUGCCGGUGUACUUCCCCGUGGGCGGGCCAGCGUCGGUUUGGGCGGCCGGUCAAAGGCCCUCGGAAUGUAUCACCCCUCGGGGUGUCUUAUAGCCGAGGGUGCAAUGCGGCCUGCCCGGACCGAGGAACGCGCUUCGGCUCGGACGCUGGCGUAAUGGUCGUAAAUGACC